rnacentral:rRNA from 1 species
UACAGAGGGCUCGAGCGUUAGGCGGAAUCACUGGGCUUAAAGCGUGUGUAGGCGGCUCGUUAAGUGCCUUGUGAAAUCCCACGGCUCAACCGUGGAAGUGCAUUCGAAACUGCAGGGCUAGAGUCCUGGAGAGGAAGGUGGAAUGCUUGGUGUAGAGGUGAAAUUCGUAGAUAUCAAGCGGAACACCGGUGGCGAAGGCGGCCUUCUGGACAGUGACUGACGCUGAGACGCGAAAGCGUGGGGAGCAAACAGG